GAACGGGUGAGUAACGCGUGAGCAAUCUACCUUAGUUACAGGGAUAGCCCGAGGAAACUCGGAUUAAUACCUGAUAUUCUUUAUAUUUCGCAUGAAAUUAAAAGGAAAGGUCAGCCGAACUAAGAUGAGCUCGCGUUCUAUCAGCUAGUUGGUGAGGUAAAAGCUCACCAAGGCUACGACGGAUAGCUGGUCUGAGAGGACGAUCAGCCACACUGGGACUGAGACACGGCCCAGACUCCUACGGGAGGCUGCAGCAGGGAAUAUUGCGCAAUGAGCGAAAGCUUGACGCAGCGACACCGCGUGUGGGAUGACGGAUCUAGGUUUGUAAACCACUUUCAGGAGGGAAGAAAAUGACGGUACCUCCACAAGAAGCCCCGGCCAACUACGUGCCAGCAGCCGCGGUAAUACGUAGGGGGCGAGCGUUGUCCGGAUUUAUUGCGCGUAAAGAGCUCGUAGGCGGUUCAACAAGUCGGUCGUGAAAGUUCAGGGCUCAACCCUGAAAUGUCCAUCGAUACU
rnacentral:rRNA from 1 species